rfam:Microdochium bolleyi strain J235TASD1 unplaced genomic scaffold Micbo1qcscaffold_1, whole genome shotgun sequence.
GGCAAGAUGGCCGAGCGGUCUAAGGCGCCAGACUCAAGUUGCAACGAAACUUGCCUCUCUCACUCUCCUCCAGGGGUGCUCAAAGAGAGGUCCAUAUUCUGGUCACGAAAGUGGCAGGGGUUCGAAUCCCCUUCUUGUCA